rnacentral:ncRNA from 1 species
UUGAGCCGGAUGAAAGGAAACUUUCACGUCCGAUUUUGAAGGGGGGGAGAUCCUGGGAGAUCCUAUCCCAAUUUUUCUUUUGCUAGGACCAUAACUAAAAAGCCCACUUUAU